UCUCUUGUGCUCGGGCAUGAACUGUCGCCAGUGAGGUCUUUACCGAGGCACAGUCUUUUGCUAGUUGCAAAUUACACAUCCGAACCCGUCUGUCAGCUUCAAGCUUUCAGCAAUUUUUGGAAAAACCAGUUU
rnacentral:snRNA from 1 species